GAUGAACGCUGGCGGCGCGCCUAACACAUGCAAGUCGAACGAUUAAAGCACCUUCGGGUGUGUAUAAAGUGGCGACCGGCUGAGUAACACGUGGGCAACCUGCCUCUCUCACUGAGAUAGCUACGGGAAACCGUGGAUAAUACCGAAUACUUCGUGACUUCCGCAUGGAUGACCCGAGAAAGCACCGGCGGGUAGGGAUGGUCACGCGGCCUGUUGGCUUGUUUGCGGGGUAACGUCGAACCAAGGCAAAGACAGGCAGCAGGGGUGAGAUGACAACCAGCCAGAUCGGGAUGGAAAUGAGGCCCAGCCUCGUACGGGAGGCAGCAGUGGGGAAGCUUGCACAGUGGGCGAAAGCCUAAUGCAGCGACGCCGCGUGCGGGAUGAAGGCAUUCGGGUUGUAAACCGCUUUCAGCAGGGACGGGGCGAUAGUGACGGUACCUGGAGAAGAAGCCCCGGCUAACUCCGUG
rnacentral:rRNA from 1 species